rnacentral:rRNA from 1 species
AAUGAACGUUGGCGGCAUGGAUUAGGCAUGCAAGUCGAGCGAGAAGAGUUUUGAAGCUCGCUUUAGAACUCGGACAGCGGCGAAAGGGAGAGUAACGCGUAGUUAUGUGCCCUAGGGUCCGGAAUAGCCACGGGAAACUGUGGGUAAUGCCGGAUAAUAUCCCCGGAUCAAAGGUGUGAUUCCGCCCUAGGAGCAGACUGCGUCCUACUAGCUAGUUGGUGGGGUAAUGGCCCACCAAGGCAAUGAUGGGUAGCGGGUGUGAGAGCAUGACCCGGCUCACUGGGACUGAGACACUGCCCAGACACCUACGGGUGGCUGCAGUCGAGAAUCUUCGGCAAUGGGCGAAAGCCUGACCGAGCGAUGCCGCGUGCGGGAUGAAGGCCCUCGGGUUGUAAACCGCUGUCGUAGGGGAGGAAGGUUCCGUGAAGAGCGGAAUUUGACCUAUCCUAGGAGGAAGUACGGGCUAAGUUCGUGCCAGCAGCCGCCGUAAGAC